rnacentral:rRNA from 1 species
UGCGUAGGCGGCCUGACAAGUCAGAGGUGAAAGGCUACGGCUUAACCGUAGUAAGCCUUUGAAACUGACAGGCUUGAGUGCAGGAGAGGAAAGUGGAAUUCCUAGUGUAGCGGUGAAAUGCGUAGAUAUUAGGAGGAACACCAGUGGCGAAGGCGACUUUCUGGACUGUAACUGACGCUGAGGCACGAAAGCGUGGGGAGCGAACAGGAUUAGAUACCCUGGUAGUCC